rnacentral:piRNA from 1 species
UGUGAGGUCGGUCCCAUCCAUACUGCCUAGUA